rnacentral:rRNA from 1 species
AUUGAACGCUGGCGGAAUGCUUUACACAUGCAAGUCGAGCGGCAGCACGGGGGCAACCCUGGUGGCGAGCGGCGAACGGGUGAGCAAUACAUCGGAACAUGCCCAGUCGUGGGGGAUAACACUUCGAAAGAAGUGCUAAUACCGCAUACGUCCUGAGGGGGAAAGCGGGGGAUCGCAAGACCUCGCGCGAUUGGAGUGGCCGAUGUCAGAUUAGCUAGUUGGUGGGGUAAAGGCCUACCAAGGCAACGAUCUGUAGCUGGUCUGAGAGGAUGAUCAGCCACACUGGGACUGAGACACGGCCCAGACUCCUACGGGGGGCAGCAGUGGGGAAUUUUGGACAAUGGGGGCAACCCUGAUCCAGCCAUGCCGCGUGAGUGAAGAAGGCCUUCGGGUUGUAAAGCUCUUUCGGCAGGAACGAAACGGUGAGCUCUAACAUAGCUUGCUAAUGACGGUACCUGAAGAAGAAGCACCGGCUAACUACGUG